UUCCGGUUGAUCCUGCCGGACCCCACUGCUAUCGAGAUGGGACUAAGGUAUGCUAGUCGAACGACCAGAACUAUGUCUGGAAGUGGCACACUGCUCAGUAACACGUAGCUAACCUACCCUUAGGACGUGGAUACCCCCGAGAAAUUGGGGUUAAUCCGCGAUAGGUGUAAUGUCCUGGAAUGGUAUUACGCCUAAAGGUGUAUCAUACAUGUUUGAUAUACGCCUAAGGAUGGGGCUGCGGCCGAUCAGGCUGUUGGUGAGGUAAUGGCUCACCAAACCUUUGACCGGUACGGGCCAUGAGAGUGGUAGCCCGGAGAUGGACACUGAGACAAGGAUCCAGGCCCUAAGGGGCGCAGCAACCGCGAAACCUCCACAAUGCACUCACGUGCGAUGGGGCUAUCUCGAGUGCCACCUGAUGAAGGUGGCUUUUCCUUGGUCUUCAAAGCCUUGGGAAUAAGAGGGGGGCAAGACUGGUGUCAGCCGCCGCGGUAACACCAGCCCCUCGAGUGGUGGGGAUGAUUAUUUGGCCUAAAGCGUCCGUAGCCGGCCGAGUAAGUCCCCCGUUAAAUCCAGCGUCUCAAGCGUUGGACCGCGGGAGAUACUACAUGGCUAGAGAGUGGGAGAGGUCAGCGGUAUUCUGGGGGUAGGGGCGAAAUCCUUUGAUCCCCGGAGGACCACCAGUGGCGAAGGCUGCUGACUAGAACACGUCUGACGGUCAGGGACGAAAGCUGGGGUAGCGAACCGGAUUAGAUACCCGGGUAGUCCCAGCCGUAAACGAUGCAUGCUAGGUGUUGGGUUGGCCACGAGCCACCCCAGUGCCGCAGGGAAGCCGUUAAGCAUGCCGCCUGGGAAGUACGAUCGCAA
rnacentral:rRNA from 1 species